rnacentral:rRNA from 1 species
AGUGAACGCUGGCGGUAGGCCUAACACAUGCAAGUCGAACGGCAGCACAGGAGAGCUUGCCCUCUGGGUGGCGAGUGGCGGACGGGUGAGGAAUACAUCGGAAUCUACUCUGUCGUGGGGGAUAACGUAGGGAAACUUACGCUAAUACCGCAUACGACCUACGGGUGAAAGCAGGGGAUCUUCGGACCUUGCGCGAUUGAAUGAGCCGAUGUCGGAUUAGCUAGUUGGCGGGGUAAAGGCCCACCAAGGCGACGAUCCGUAGCUGGUCUGAGAGGAUGAUCAGCCACACUGGAACUGAGACACGGUCCAGACUCCUACAGGAGGCAGCAGUGGGGAAUAUUGGACAAUGGGCGCAAGCCUGAUCCAGCCAUACCGCGUGGGUGAAGAAGGCCUUCGGGUUGUAAAGCCCUUUUGUUGGGAAAGAAAUCCAGCUGGCUAAUACCCGGUUGGGAUGACGGUACCCAAAGAAUAAGCACCGGCUAACUUCGUGCCAGCAGCCGCGGUAA